CUUGUAUACAUUGGUUUCUUUGUCAUAUAGUUCAAUUGCUGUUGCUUGUAAAUGUUUUAUAAACCAGUACUGCGAAGUAGCGAAAUUUCGGGCCGUCUUUCACAACAAAUAACAUCACAAUAACUGCACAUCAUUUUCUCUUUAAUACAGAAUCAUUUUCCCCAUCCAUUGAGUUAUAAUUUCCAAAACGAACCACUCGCUAUAACGUAAAAUAAGCGGGUAUUUGUGAACAAAAAUGCCCUUUGAUAUAUAAACACGAGGUAACCAGCGCCAUCUUGUCUUCUCCAAACAUUACAGAUUUUCCCGCCAAAACCCGCCCCCAAAGUCCCGUAUGUACCUGACGUCACAAGUGUCAUGGACG